rnacentral:tRNA from 1 species
GGGCGCGUAGCUCAGCGGGAGAGCACUACGUUGACAUCGUAGGGGUCACAGGUUCGAUCCCUGUCGCGCCCGCCA